GGCGAACGGGUGAGUAACACGUGGGCAACCUGCCCAAAAGAGGGGGAUAACACUUGGAAACAGGUGCUAAUACCGCAUAACCAUAGUUACCGCAUGGAAACUAUGUAAAAGGUGGCUAUGCUACCGCUUUUGGAUGGGCCCGCGGCGCAAUAUCUAGUUGGUGAGGUAAAGGCUUACCAAGGCAAUGAUGCGUAGCCGAACUGAGAGGUUGAUCGGCCACAUUGGGACUGAAACACGGCCCAAACUCCUACGGGAGGCAGCAGUAGGGAAUCUUCCACAAUGGGCGAAAGCCUGAUGGAGCAACGCCGCGUGGGUGAAGAAGGUCUUCGGAUCGUAAAACCCUGUUGUUAGAGAAGAAAGUGCGUGAGAGUAACUGUUCACGUUUCGACGGUAUCUAACCAGAAAGCCACGGCUAACUACGUGCCAGCAGCCGCGGUAAUACGUAGGUGGCAAGCGUUAUCCGGAUUUAUUGGGCGUAAAGGGAACGCAGGCGGUCUUUUAAGUCUGAUGUGAAAGCCUUCGGCUUAACCGGAGUAGUGCAUUGGAAACUGGGAGACUUGAGUGCAGAAGAGGAGAGUGGAACUCCAUGUGUAGCGGUGAAAUGCGUAGAUAUAUGGAAGAACACCAGUGGCGAAAGCGGCUCUCUGGUCUGUAACUGACGCUGAGGGUUCGAAAGCGUGGGUAGCAACAGGAUUAGAUACCCUGGUAGUCCACGCCGUAAACGAUGAAUGCUAAGUGUUGGAGGGUUUCCGCCCUUCAGUGCUGCAGCUAACGCAAUAAGCAUUCCGCCUGGGGAGUACGACCGCAAGGUUGAAACUCAAAGGAAUUGACGGGGGCCCGCACAAGCGGUGGAGCAUGUGGUUUAAUUCGAAGCAACGCGAAGAACCUUACCAGGUCUUGACAUCUUUUGACAAUCCCAGAGAUAGGACUUUCCCUUCGGGGACAGAAUGACAGGUGGUGCAUGGUGGUCGUCAGCUCGUGUCGUGAGAUGUUGGGUUAAGUCCCGCAACGAGCGCAACCCCUAUUUUUA
rnacentral:rRNA from 1 species